GCACUCGUGGCCGAGUGGUUAAGGCGAUGGACUGGAAAUCCAUUGGUAUCUUCCCGCGUAGGUUCGAAUUCUACCGACUGCG
rnacentral:tRNA from 1 species